rnacentral:rRNA from 1 species
AAAAUUAAACUGAAGAGUUUGAUCAUGGCUCAGAUUGAACGUUGGCGGCACGCCUAAUACAUGCAAGUCGAACGAGAAAGCACUUCGGUGUGAGUACAGUGGCGGACGGGUGAGUAACGCGUAGGAAUCUACCUAGUGGUGGGGGACAACUCGAGGAAACUCGGGCUAAUACCGCAUAAGCCCUACGGGGGAAAGCGGGGGAUCUUCGGACCUCG